rnacentral:lncRNA from 1 species
AUGCCCCCGGGGCACCCAUGGGCACUGGUGGGCACCCUGGGGUGUCACAUGCCCCAUGGGCACCCAAGGGCGCUGCUGAGCACCAAGGGGUACAGGGUGGCACCACGGGCACCCAAAGGUGCUCCUGGUUCCCUGGGGCUGCAGGGUGUCCCACGGGCACCCGAGGGCAGUGCUGAGCCGCAAGAGGUGCAGGAUGCCCCAAGGGCACCCAAGGGCACCGCUCAGCACCCUGGGGUGCAGGAUGGCACUGCAGGCACCCAAAGGUGCUCCUGGUUCCCCUGGGCUUCAGGAUGCCUCAAUGGGACCAUUGUGCACCUUGGGGUGCAGAACAAUGCCAUGGGCACCCAAGGGUGUUCCCAGUUCUCAUGGGCUUCAGGAUGCCCCAAGGGGACUGUUGUGCACCUUGGGGUGCAGGACGGUGCCACGGGCACCCAAGGGUGCUCCUGGUUCCCAUGGGCUGCAGAAUGCUCCAGGGGGACCGUUGUGCACCAAGGGGUGCAGGAUGGUGCCAUGGGCACCCAGAGGUGCUCCGGUUCCCAUGGGCUGCAGGAUGCCCCCAGGGGACCCUGGUGCACCUUGGGGUGCAGGACGUUGCCAGGGGCACCCAAAGAUGCUCUCAGUUCCCAUGGGUUUCAGGAUGCCCCAGGGGGACCAUCAUGCAUCAUGGGGUGCAGGAUGGCACUGCAGGCACCCAAGGGUGCUCCCAGUUCCCAUGGGCUGCAGGAUGCCCCAAGGGGACCGUUGUACAUCUUGGGGUGCAGGAUGGUGCCGCAGCCACCCAAGGGUGCUCCCAGUUCCCAUGGGCUGCAGGAUUGUGCCAUGGACACCCAAGGGUGCUCCUGGUUCCCAUGGGCUUCAGGAUGCCAUAAGGGGGACCAUCAUGCACCCUGGGAUGCAGAACGGUGCCAGGGCACCCAAGGGUACUCCCAGUUCCCAUGGGCUUCAGGACGGUGCCAGGGACACCCAAGGGUGCCCCCAGUUCCCAUGGGCUGCAGGAUGGCACUGCAAGCACCCAAAGGUGCCCCCGGUUCCCAUGGGUUUCAGGAGGCCCCAAGGGGACCGUUGUGCACCCCGGGAUGCAGGAUGGUGCCACGGGCACCCAAGGGUGCUCCCAGUUCCCAUGGGCUGCAGGAUGGCACUGCAAGCACCCAAGGGUGCUCCUGGUUCCCAUGGGCUUCAGGAUGCCCCAGGGGGACCAUCAUGCACCCCAGGAUGCAGAACGGUGCCAGGGGCUCCGUUUAGGGUAGCUAACACCCAAGGGUGCUCCUGGUUCCCUGGGGCU